GCAAGUAUGCAAACAAGACUGACUCUUCCUUUCCACUGGAGCUUUGGGUAAUUGCUCUGACAAUUCUAUGAUUUGCUGAAGCCACGGAAAAUCAGUUUUAAAACAGGAUUUCUACCCCUGGCUCACUACAUGACAAAUAAUUUUAUCCUGUAAUCUUCUGAUGUUAAACAAAGAUGGCCCUCAAUGUAAUUGUUACAGUGCCUCCUCCCCACUUCUGUUAGCUGUUGCUUCUCUGCCUCCCAUGAGUUUAGUGUAAUCCCAGAACUUUGGGAGACCAAGGCGGGCAGAUCACUUGAGGUCAGGAGUCAGAGACCAGCCUGGCCAACAUGGCGAAACCCCAUCUCUACUGAAAAUACAAAAAUUAGCCAGGCAUGGUGGCUUGCGUCUGUAAUCCCAGCUACUUGAGAGGCUGAGACACAAGAAUCGCUUGAAUCCUGGAGGCAGAGGUUGCAGUGAGCUGAGAUAGUGCCACUACACUCCAGCCUGGGAGACAGAGCGAGACCCUGUCUCAAAACAACAAAAAACAAAAACCGAACAAACAAAAACUGUAAUUGCUGAAACGCUCUUUUUCAUCAAUCAUAUAUAUUGAACCACGGUCACGAAAACAUGGGAAAAGUGUAAUUUCUGCCUCUGAGGAACUCACAGUCUAGUGGGAGACACCAUUUAUUCAUCCAUUCUUUCAUGAAAUACACAUUGAGAAUGUAACACACCCUGGGCAAAGGAGAGGUCAUUUGACUAUGACACAAGACAAUAGUCAUAGUCUUUGCUCUCAUGGAAUUCACAGCCUAGCCAUGGAGAUUAAAAAUAAAAAGAUCUAAUAGAAUAAAGAGUAGUAGAUUUAAAAACACUGGAAACCCAGUGUGCAGUAAAACUAAAAAAGAGGGCUACCUAACCUAGUGUGAGAGGUGAGGUAGAGGUUAGGGUGAGAAAGGAUGGUAUAGGAAGGCUUUCUGGAAAAUUUCAAGAUAAAUCUUGAGGAUAAGUCAGAAUUAUACAGUCCAAGCUCACUGCAGUUAAAUCUUCAGUCUCCAGCACUGCACUUGGGAAAGCGUCAAGGAGUUGAAUGUAUAUGUAAUUGGAGUGCCAGAAGAAGAGAACUGAGAGAGAGGGGCAGAACAGCUCAUGAGGGGGAAAACCCACUACAUACAAACAAGAAUACUGCAGACUCCUCAUCAGAAUCUAUGCUACCUGUAAAGGCUUGUAAAAGCACAGAGCUGCUCUCACCAUGCAGCCAAAGAAGAAAUGAGGAUAUCGGUCCUAUAACUGCAAGGAACUGAAUGCUGCCAACCACCUGAACGGACUUGGGCUACUGAGAAGAAGCUAUUCUAGCAAAGCUGGAGGAAUUCCACCAGACUGACAGAACAACACAAAUAAGUCCAUGCCUGACGCACAGCAGGGGCUCAAGGCAAGUUUGUGGACUCGAAGCCCUGUUAGAAUGGAUGGAAUUUGGUCUUAUGAAGCAGAUAGAAGAACAGGAGCUUGACUGUAAAGAUUUGUCUCCACCUCUUAAUAAAGCAUAUCAUCUCCAAGACGCAAGUCCUUCUUCUGUCUUUUAAGUAUGAACUCCCUGUCUUUUAAGUAUGAACUGCUUAACUGAGACUCAGUAAAAUUAUAACUAGC
rnacentral:lncRNA from 1 species